rnacentral:misc_RNA from 1 species
AAAAUUUCUAUCUCGCUUGUUGAUGCAAGGGGUCGAGAGGACCUUUUUCAUCCAUUGACGUUUUUAAUUUUUUAAAAUCUUUUUUCCCUAUAACACUACAGAUUCUAAUAAAUAAUUGGAACCCCCCCCCCCCAAUCUUGCGAUAGAAAAUCUGUCAAUGAACAUCUGUGUGGUUUUUUUUGCACCACAAAUCAUCAAUAACAAAUGCAGGUGCCAAUCAUUGUGCACUCGGAAGAGGCGCUGUUGCACCAUUCCAUUAAAAUUUGAAAAAUCAGGGCUGUUAUUUAAUCGUAAUAAUAUAAUCUCACAUGUUUUCAAAUUUUGCACUGAACUCGCACCCCAUCCCCCCAACUUUCUUGCUGUUGAUUACAUGAAAAUAUAAUUCAGUUCUCAACUUCUUGUUCAAAUUCUUAAAUAAAAUUAAAAACUUGGAAUGCUUGUCUUGCAUUAGGGAUACAUGUUACUCCAUUACAGAUAGCCAAGUCGUAAAAUCUCAAACUCUAUAUCAUUAUAAAGGUUGCGUUAUCAAGCAUUACAUGAUUUGCCACUUUGAUUUUUAAAAAAAAUGAUAAAAAAUCAAACAAGUUUAAUAAUCGCAUUCAAAGUCACCGCUAAUGCAUAUAUAUCAAUUACUGUAAUACUGUACAAUAAUUGAACAAUAAAAAUCUUUUUUAAAAAUU